rnacentral:rRNA from 1 species
GCAGCAGCCGCGGGAAUACAGAGGGUGCGAGCGUUAAUCGGAUUUACUGGGCGUAAAGCGUGCGUAGGCGGCUAAUUGAGUCGGAUGUGAAAUCCCCGAGCUUAACUUGGGAAUUGCAUUCGAUACUGGUUAGCUAGAGUGUGGGAGAGGAUGGUAGAAUUCCAGGUGUAGCGGUGAAAUGCGUAGAGAUCUGGAGGAAUACCGAUGGCGAAGGCAGCCAUCUGGCCUAACACUGACGCUGAGGUACGAAAGCAUGGGGAGCAAACAGGAUUAGAGACCCCGGUAGUCCCUGUCUCUUAUAC